rnacentral:lncRNA from 1 species
UUUAUUAAAUGAGGUCUCAUCAAGAUUCAUCUGAAACCCUUGCUGCUAUGGACCAGGACUUGCUGAUAUCCACAGCUGAGAACCUUUGAGUCUCCGCUUCCUUGAGGCUACUUAGAAGCCAAGUCUCACUACCAAUAUGAGCUCCAAAUAUUUUGUCGAGCCGUUUAGCACUAAUUUAUUAUGUUUGUCUCAUGGAUGAAAUCUCCCAGGACUUUUUGUUUGCUUUCUCAUAUUUGUACUUGUUCUCUUGAAGCUGUGCCAAAGUAUUAAUUAGCCACUAGUCCGCCUAUUUACUGUCUGUGUAUGGACCUCCACAAGCACAGGGGCUCUUGUCCUUUUGUUGGGGAUGAACAUUUGUUGAAUCAUUUGGCACAACAGAACCUAGUAGUAGAAUGUCACACUCUGGAAGUCAUACAUUUUUGGCAACAUGGCCAAAACAGUAAGACCAGGAUCAUUAUGGAAGUUUGAAACAUUUUCCAUGUGCGCCACAAUCAAUUGAAAUUUCUUUCUCUUCACAAGGAAUCAAGGCUUCUAGACACCACCGGAUGAGUCAAGGUACCGUGGCCCAGACAAACUAAGCACUGGUUCUGUCACCACAUAGACACAAAGGCAUUCAAGAAACCACAGCCCUCUGGCUUCGUUGCUCCUUCCUUCUUAAUCAAAUCAACAGAGUGUGUUUGUAGAAUUCACCCACAACACAAACAGAUGCCGCGAAACACCUUGGAGCGGUUGGCCGGCAGAAAUGCCCACUGAGCGGGCUGUGAUUCACUCGGGAGGAGGAAGGCCUCGGAGGGCAGCCAAUCGAAGACGGACCCAGGGAAAAGUCGCUGGGUUCUUACAGGAAGCGAUCUAAUUAUGUUACUGUAAUCCUCAAGCUCGCAUUUUUCAGCCACCUCAACACGAACUCACAGACUUCAACGAUUAUGUAAUUACGGAAAACUUCACAACAAACAUGAAGAUUCCUUCUGGAGGCCACAUUGAAGACCGGGAUGUGCAUUAGAGCGUGGGAGGGAAGCACGCAGCUCACAAAAGGAAGAGCAAAGAGAUGUAUUGAACUUAAAAGGCUACAUUUGAAAAGGGGCCCCUACCAGACCUCCCCUUUUGUGUGCACAUUUUUUGCACCUGCAACUGUUUGCGGGCUCGAAAGCAAUAGCCCUCCCCCUUCUCCCAAGAGGCCACGCUUUCAUGCCUUGGCCCCAAAUGUGUCAUUUUCCUGCCAGGGGGGAGAAAUCAAAAGAAACCAAGUUUUUAGAACUUUGCUGUAAAGAAAAUAAUAGUUUUGAAAAGGAUUGGAGCCACAUUUCAGGUUAGACACAGUUGUUAGAGAAAUGUCAGACGGAAAACAUUCCUCUUCACUUUCUUUCCUAGCUUGUUGAAGUUCUUCAUUUCACUGGGUUCUGGGUGACAUCUGUAGCAUCCAUUUCAGCGCAGGCUGCAGCAGGCUUUUGACUCCACAGCAUGUAACUGUGCUCAGACCAUCGUGUUCAAAGUCGAGAUUCCAAAUGGACCUUCCUGACUCUUCACAGAGAAGAUGCCAUAUAAAUCCUUUCCAUUAAAACAAACCUUUGAUACCACCAGCGAAUUGUGGAAUUUUGAUAAUGAUGCUUGUGAAUGAAGUGCUGACAAAUGGUCUUGCUUUAGAUGGUGUUUGUGGGUGGGGCUUGGGUUAGAGCCAGGAUCAAACCUUGAUUUUGGCCACUGAUCCAUUUCCUCUCUCCCCACCACCCACCUCAUAUGUUGAGAUGAAAGUUAGAGCAGAAAGCCUCUUUUGAACCAUUAUGAACAAUUCUAUUCAAAGCAGCAUCUGUGAAUUUUUAUAAGACUGGCCAAGAUUUGCUCAAUUAUUUCUCCAUUCUCUCCAGGGGAUAGAAAGUUUCAAAUCAAGGGUUACAAUGGAAGCAAAAAUGUUAUGUUCAUGGGAGGUAGAAUGCAUUGCUAAAUAGAUGGAAGACAAAAUAAAGUUCCUCAGUAUACAUAAUAGCUCAAGGAUGAACUUGGUUGAACAGAUUAGAGGAAC